rnacentral:rRNA from 1 species
AAAAACAUCGCUCUUUGGUAUAUAGUUAUUGAGAAUAUAAAGAGUCGGGCCUGCCCAGUGACAUUAUAUGUUAAACGGCCGCGGUACCCUGACCGUGCAAAGGUAGCAUAAUCACUUGCCUUUUGAUUGAGGGCUGGUAUGAAUGGCUUGACGAGAGCUGGACUGUCUCUUUUUAAAUUUAUAAAAAUUAACUUUUAGGUGAAGAGGCCUAAAUUCAACUGAGUGACGAAAAGACCCUAUUGAGCUUUAGUUAAUUAACAAAAUUUUUAAUGUUUUGUUUUUCUAAGCACUUGGAUUUGCAUGUGUGUUUUGUUAAGAAUCUUUAGUUGGGGUGACUUAGGAGUAAAAAAAACUUCCUUUAACUAUUUAAAUAUGUAAGGUAUUCAUACUGAUUUUAUAGAUCCAGUAUUUACUGAUCAAAGGAAAAAGUUACCAUAGGGAUAACAGCGUUAUCUUUCUGGAGAGUUCUUAUUGAAGGAAAGGUUUACGACCUCGAUGUUGGACUAGGAUAUCCUAGAGGUGCAGAAGCUUCUGAUGGUUAGUCUGUUCGACUAUUAAAAUCCUACGUGAUCUG